rnacentral:rRNA from 1 species
AAGAAACAAAUGUUUGUAUUCGCUCUAAGAAUUUUUUAUCUCGUGUWGUAGUAGUUAAGGUAAAAUUAGAACUAGCUUUAUAGAAUACACGUAGUCGAAACUGAAAGGUUGAUCGAUCACAAUGUGGCCUGAACAAAGCCCAUGACAAAAGUAGCAGCAGUGAGGAAUAUUGGUCAAUAGCCUAACGGCUGAACCAGCAACUUGGAGGAAAGUAAAGCAAUUGCUGAUUACAUUUAAUCUUUUAUAAGAUUUAGAGCUUGGUGUAAUUACUACUUAGUAGUUUAAAUUUCGAGGUAGAAUAUGAUGAUGACAUUUUCUAUCUUUAUGUCUUGACCAAAUUACGUGCCAGCAGUCGCGGUAAUACGUAGAAGACGAGUGUUAUUCAUCUUUAUUAGGUUUAAAGGGUACCAAGACGGUUAAUAAAGCCCAGAAUAUAUUAAAACAAGGGGACACAUUGACUAGAGUUAUAUGAAAGGAAGCUCUAAGGUACUGUUGAGUGUAGAGAUGAAAUUCUGUCAUACCAGAUGAGUGGCACAGAUUUAUGCGAAGGCAUCUUCUUAUGUAAUAACUGACGUUGUAAGACGAAGGCUUUUGAAGUGAACAGGAUUAGAUACCCCAGUAAUCUUAGCAGAAAAUGAUGAAUGUCAUAGGUUAAUC